rnacentral:rRNA from 1 species
AUGCAGAAAUGGCAAGAGCGUCCUAGUUAUGCAAUGCGCGCAGGGCUACCACGAGCAGAACCUGAUGAACAACAGGGGUAUACUGAUCAUGUGAUUGAUGGAGAACAUAUACCUGUGGCUAACGAGACUGUUGCAAAUAAUAGCCUUCAGAGAAAUCGACCGCCCCUUGGCCGUCGUAUUGUAGGCAACGAGGAGAGACAAGCUUUGCCUCUAAAUGAGGUCAGAGAUCAUGUAAAUGAUCAGCACCCUAGUUACACUAUGCAGCCAAAGCGAGCACAGCUGGCACACUUGCAUCAAGUCACUCAUUCAGAGGAGAUGCAGGAUGGACUUCUCAGCCAUGAAGUUUAUGGAGAGGCGGGACAUACUGAACUGAUAGAUGAGGCUACUGCAACUCAUAGAAACCAGAGAGUCGGAUGCUCUGUUAGCCCCCAGACUGUAAGUAUAGAGGAGAGGCAUACGGAGACUCCUGCUCAGAUCAUACAGCAGGUGCACAAACAGCCUUUUUAUGAGAGUCAUGCAGAAGGCAGUCAGUUAUACUGUCUGGAUCUUGAUGGGGUGGUUCAUCCACCUGUCAACCAAGCAAAACACGGAGAAGAGGCAUCUACUGAGAUGAUCAAUAAAACAGUUUCGAGGGAGAGCAUUCGGCCAACUGGAUGCGCUGUUGAACCCAACUCUGUUAAUGUAGAGAAGAGAAAGACAUCGACCACAAAUUAG